rnacentral:misc_RNA from 1 species
AAUUAAUCAAUUCAUCAAUUAUUCAAUGUCUUCUAUAUUCAAUUCCUGUCAUGGUGGCUUUCCUAUAAUCAUCUCGAUAACAAUGCAACCCUGAGACCAAAUAUUGGAGCUGGUGAUGUCUGAGCAAGCUUUAUAGAUUCAGGGGACAUGUACAAGAGAGUUCCUUGAAAAGUGUACUGAUAAAAGAAUUUCCUUGGAUCUUCUUCAUCAGGCUCUUAUGCUAAGCCAAAAUCAGCAAUCUUAAGUUGACUUAAAUUUAGUUGAUCAGAAGGGAAAACAAGGA